UACGUAGGGUGCAAGCGUUGUCCGGAAUUAUUGGGCGUAAAGAGCUCGUAGGCGGUCUGUCGCGUCGGCUGUGAAAACUCGGGGCUCAACUCCGAGCCUGCAGUCGAUACGGGCAGACUUGAGUGCUGUAGGGGAGACUGGAAUUCCUGGUGUAGCGGUGAAAUGCGCAGAUAUCAGGAGGAACACCGGUGGCGAAGGCGGGUCUCUGGGCAGUAACUGACGCUGAGGAGCGAAAGCGUGGGGAGCGAACAGG
rnacentral:rRNA from 1 species